rnacentral:misc_RNA from 1 species
UCCGGUUUGUCACCGGCAGUCCCAUUAGAGUGCCCAACUCAAUGUAGCAACUAAUGGCAAGGGUUGCGCUCGUUGCGGGACUUAACCCAACAUCUCACGACACGAGCUGACGACAGCCAUGCAGCACCUGUGUCCCGGCUCUCUUUCGAGCACACCGAACUCUCAUCCGGCUCCCGGGCAUGUCAAGGGUAGGUAAGGUUUUUCGCGUUGCAUCGAAUUAAUCCACAUCAUCCACCGCUUGUGCGGGUCCCCGUCAAUUCCUUUGAGUUUUAGUCUUGCGACCGUACUUCCCAGGCGGAAUACUUAACGCGUUAGCUGCGGCACUGAAGGGGUCAAAUCCCCCAAUACCUAGUAGACAUAGUUUAGGGCGUGGACUAC